UACGUAGGGUGCGAGCGUUAAUCGGAAUUACUGGGCGUAAAGCGUGCGCAGGCGGUGAGCUGUGUCCGAUGUGAAAGCCCCGGGCUUAACCUGGGAAUGGCAUUGGAAACUGGCUCGCUGGAGUGUGGCAGAGGGGGGUGGAAUUCCGCGUGUAGCAGUGAAAUGCGUAGAGAUGCGGAGGAACACCGAUGGCGAAGGCGGGUCUCUGGGCCGUAACUGACGCUGAGGAGCGAAAGCGUGGGGAGCGAACAGG
rnacentral:rRNA from 1 species